UAAUAAUAGUGAGGGCAAUUUUUUAGCAUACCCUUAAAUCUCUCCCAAGCUUGGUAGAGAUUCUCUCAUUAUUUCUGUCUGAAACUUAGAAUCUCAUUUCUCAAAUG
rnacentral:snoRNA from 1 species